rnacentral:sRNA from 1 species
CCACGUGGAUCUCUUGUGCCUCUGUUGCAUAUGCAUGCAACUCGAGGGAAGUUUUAAACAAUGUGGCGCAUUUAAGUGCCCCUGUAUCAGUCAUUUUUGGACGCCGCUCAUUCCCUGAAAUAGUUCCAUAUUCUUUGGCCAAGGCUAGUCGGGCAUUAACUUGAUUACUGUACUUCCCAUGAAAAAGCCGAGCCUGUUGCUUGUUGUGAAUGUGUCUACAACUCGCGCAAGUGGUUUGAUUUGUGCAGAACUUGGCAUUGAUGCGCUUGUUAAAAUCACUGAGGACAAAGUUGGGGGUUAAGACCUCUUGAUCUGAUGAAAAUUCCGACCUUGAAAGAUUUCCCACUGAGGAAUAACGCUCCCAGUAUAUGAGUUCGUAAUAUUUCCUGAUCGAAAACUUUUGUGAUUUGUGCCGCUCCGAGCUUCACACUGUUAUGUCUUCGAAAGUCUGUAAGCUUAAUUCCAUUAGCAAAAUAAACUUGGACAUGUGAUUAAACAAAUGAGCAACGUUUCCACGGCGUGACCUCGAAACAUCCAAUACAACUUUUGUUCGGGAAUUUCCGUUUUCCUUUUCGCAACCAUUACUGGGUUGAUCGUUUUUUCCGAGUUUAUCGUCAUCUUACAAGUAUCACAACCGGCUAUUCAUGCUUUUAUUUCUAUGGCCAUCUGCGACAAGCUGCAAAAGUCCGCCUUAAGUUAUAUGUGCCAUUUGGAUUACUUGAUUGAUGAUAGUUCGGGUUCCAUGGCUUCUUAAAUAAACAUGCAUCCUCAACACAUAAAUCUGGAAACUUCUGCUCGCUUUCCUGCACUUCCUGUAUGCAGUGAACAAACUCGGUAUUUGAGAGCAUGUCUUCCACAACAUCAUAUGCUUCAUUUCUAUGAUUGAUUCAAAAUUCAUAUGGCUGGUGAGUUGAGGAAAAUUUUUCCACCGAACCAUUCAGUGCUAUAAAUGACAGAAGUACAGUUAAUAUGAUGAACAUUUUGAGUUCAACAUGUAUUUUAAAUGUUCUUACUAAUGCAAUACUUUAUUUCUCUGGAGUGCUGUUGGAAUAAAAAGGCUUCACACUGGAUAACAAAAUAUAUCUUAAUGUCUGGAUGGACUGCGAGAGUCGCGCUGAAGAUAUGAAUUUGGACUGAAAAAUGAAAAGGCACCACUGUGCAAGGAUACCAUUCGGCGAAAUCUAAAAAAAAAAAAACAACGGAGCUGACUUACAAUAUUACGAGUGUUUAUUUCAGUGAUUGCAUGAACUUUUCGAAGCGCAACAUAACCCACAUCAUA